rnacentral:pre_miRNA from 13 species
UUGUCACAGGUGCUCUGACGAGGUUGCACUACUGUGCUCUGAGAAGCAGUGCAAUGAUAUUGUCAAAGCAUCUGGGACUAGC